CCAUAUGUAGGUUGUAUUUUUCUGUAGGUAAAGAAAAUAGAGAUAUGUAUAUGUUCUCCCAAAGCUUAGUGGUAAUGUUUGUUUUUCAUUUGUAAACUAGAUUAGUCUCACAGUUCUUUGGUUCAUGCAAUUGAGAUUCUCCUUCAAAGGGUUCUAUCUUUGUACUCUGUUUCUACAUAGAAUUCGCAGCACAUCUUAAAAGAAUAAUAUCACAUCUUUUAGUUUAAUCAUAUGUAUGCUGCAUGCUUUCAAUUUGUAUAAAUGUUCAGUAUAGUGUUUUAUAAAUCCGUUUACCAAUGCAGAAAACGGUGGAAGGGCGCCAAGGCGUGCCCCUAAAUUUUUUGGUACCUGCUGUUGAAGGUGAACGUGUGCAAGUACAACGAAUUCAUUACUGCCGCAGUGCAAACGGUUCUAGCCGUGAGGAAAGUGUGUAGAUGGUACAUCAACACAGACAUCCCUCAAAUAAUUGUCCUCCCUGCUAGAGUCGACCAUUGAACCCAACGCAAAUUCUUCGUUGGCUGCCAAUAUUGCUCUGCGUCACCAAGUAGGCGAUUAUCUGAGGAAAUCUCUUUCUGAAUUGAUCAACUUCAGUCUCUAGCAUGUGAUUGUUUGGAGAAAAUGAUGGGCUCCUAUUCCUGAACUUACAAUUGUUAUGCACUCAUGUAGUGUAAGGUUGUUUAUAGCCUCUUUCAGUUUGUCCAUUUUGUUGCUUUUGACGGGUAUCACCAUUAUCUGCUAGGUUAAUUAGAUUGAUAUCUUUGAAAUUUUGUAUAGUUCCAGCAUCUAUGUUUAUGAUGUUCUCUUCAUUUUAUGAGCUUAUUAUAUA